AUAAAAUAUAUUAGCCAUUCCAUCAGAUGGCUGGAGAGAAAAACUAGUUGCAAUGAGGAAAAACGAAUUAAAGGAGCAUUAAUAAAGAUUAUCUAUGAAAGAAAAUAAGGUCAAAAUUAGAACUCUGCAUUUUAAAGCCACCUUUCAAAAAUGCAAGCUGCUUUGCCCAAUGCUAAAAUCCAUUCAUUUUACUAAUCAUGCAAUCAACCAAUCUCCAUUAUCUCCAGCUAGCUAGCUAUAAACAUGCUAUAGACUGGAGUGAAAGAGGGAGAGUGUGAGGUUGAGAGACAGAGAGAGAGAGAGAAAGAAAGAAAGAAAGAAAGAGAGAGAGAUUACUACACCCAGCCUUUUAUAAAGCCGUUUCUUUCAUUAUAACAGGUCUUUUCAUCAAAAUGACACAGAACCUUUAAAUUUGGGCAUAAUACUCCAGUACAGUACACAGCUAUAGCUUAAAAUGGAUUUAGAACCUGCUCCAGAAAGAAAACAAACUCCCUCGUUUGACACACAAAUUGUUUACGAUUCAUUAAAAAGCAAAAUUGCAUAUCACAGUGCUGGCAGCUGAGUCCAUAUGGGUGCAAGGGGUAUUCACUCAUCUCUUUGUAUGCUGGCAGUACCAAACCGAAGUUUAGCACUGUGCAGCUGAGAUUUUGUGCAGCCAGACGAUGCAUGAGCUUUUGGAAAUCCUAUAAUCCUGGCUUCAAUCAAGAUGAUCUGCUGUUGCUGAAGGCGUAAACAAGGAGAGAAGCACCAUGUGACCACUGCUUCUGCACCUUCAAGGACUCCCGAGCCAGAACGAGUGCAACAGUAAAGCCUCUACUGGAUACUCAAGAUGACACACACAUUUUGGAUGAUCUUGCUGAACCCCGGGAAAGGAGUCCUUUCCCCUUCGCAGAAAAGUUGGUUUUGGGCUCUGCUUUUCCCCCCGUAGCUCUGUUGUGUGUAUUUCUCCCCACUCCUCUCGCAUUCCUCUGAUUUUCUUCCUGCCAUCUGUAUUCCCCUUUUGCCUCAUCUGAAACAAGCAUCAAGAUCUUGUUUCUGACAGAACGAUCUGUCAAUAUGGAAACACACUGACAUCACAGACAGUGCUGUGACUUCAUGUCUGAAAGAAACAGGAGGAACAGAUGAAAGGAGGGAAGGGGAAGGAAUGACACAUACAAACAUUUUUAAAAAAUAAGUAAAAAUCCUUCUCUAUCAAGCCCAAAUGUAAAGGAACAUAAACCAGAUUUAUUUUUGAGUCUAAAUAUAACCAACUAUUUCCUAAUCUGUGACCAUAACUCAGCACAACAUUUCAACGUGCUUUUCACCCGAGAGAGGUACCUGUCCCCUAGGAACAUGUGCUUUGCUGGCUCAAGGCCCGUGUGACAGUCGUGUUGACCUCUUGAGAAGGACUAAACAGGGACUAACCUGGAAAAAAGCUAAUAUCAAGCAUAGUGCUCACACCUGGGAGAAGCCUUUAGAGGGAAAGAAGGCCUCCUGCCCUGGAUCAAUCUAAAACAUUUAGAUCUGAAACUAUUGUCCUGAGUGGCUGAUACCGCACAUAAAGAAUAACUGUUGCGUCACCUGAAACCUAAUUACUAGGUGAGCCCCUUCUUUGGGUUUUAUCUUUUCUCAGUGUCUUCAGACGUGCAACUGGACACUGACUAUCUUUGUUCUGGGGCAAUAUCUGAGCUAUGACUAAGCUGAUAUUAACACAAAAUGUAACUUCAUUCUAAAUUUUAUUUAUUUUAUUUCUGUAUUUGGAAACAUCUGAUAUAGUUGCAUACAGUGCCUAUCUUUAUGAUGUCCUGUUUUGCCAUAAGUAAAAUAUAUUUCAGUCUCUCUGGUUCUGUGGGAAAUAGCCCUUCUGGAUCUCUCCAUGCAAGGUUGCUCCAUGUAGGUAAAGUAGGAAGAGGGGUGCAGAAGGACCCAAAGACCACAAGUGGGAACUGUGGGAUAGCUCCAGACAGUUUUUAUAUCUGAAGUCUACAAGGUAUGGGAAGAGAGAGAGGCCAGCAGGUAAAACUCAUGAAGCUCUGCACACUUCUAUCCAUAGCUUGGUCAGACAUUGGAGGCUGAGUACUGGUGCAUACUGUAUACAUAACUAGGGGAGACUAUUUCUUUAGAUAGGCAUAGGUAAGCCUCAUAGCCUCUUGAGUUUGUAGGUAAAACUGAAGACUACUUUUGGAUUCAAAAAUUGCAGUGUCACAUGCCAUAGGAUACUGAUCUCUGAAUCUACGCUUUUGAUUUUUACUUAUUUUUCCAAUUUCUGAUAAGGAUUUGCUGCAAGUGGUUCAUAGUGGAAAAAAGAUUUUACUGUUAAUCAGGAGAGAUAGGGAAGUCCUCAAAGUCUCCCUGAAAAUGGUUUUCUUGCAUAGGACCUAAUGAGUCCAAUAGUGCGGAUGGACUUUCAGCCAGCAGUGCUAAAUCAGUGCCUUUUAUCAUCUAUAGCUACACAAAAGACUGCAACUACUUGUUCCUAAUGAGAGACUUCUGUAAUGCUCUCUGCUUAGGGCUAUUCUUGAGGAAUAAGGAAUCCAAGACAGAUGUGGCAGUGACCAUCAUAUUAAUCUGAAAGACCAAAUCCCUCAAAGCAAAGGAAAUAUGAACAAUUAAAACAAUAAAUACACUGAAUCAUAUGAAUCUCCAGUGCCCUCAGUUCUAACUCCAGUUCCACACAUUAAUUUGUAAUUCUUGAGCCAUGAAUAAGUAAAUCCUCUUUUGUUUAGAGAACAAGAUUAAAAUGCUACUAAUAUUUAAACCACUCCUGUUAGCUGGCUCAUAUGUCUGUCUAAAUACCUGACUAUUUCUCUGCUUUACCUUCUGAGUGUCAAAUUUGUCCUCCUGAUAAUACCAGCUGAAUGGCAGCCAGCAGGCUGAGCACCAUAGGGAAAUACCUAGAAAAGUGGUUUUGGAAGGGCUGAGCUGCACAUAAGUUUUACAACCAAGUCUGGUAUAAUCCACUGAAGUGGCUCUGGAUUAUUGAACAUUUUACAGCAAGAUAACGCUUUGGUGACCCUAAAAUAUAUUUACACUCUCAUGUGAUCUAUGCCACUGGACAUCACAUCAAGGAAGAGAAAUCACUGAACGUAGUUUGUUCAAAACACAUUGCUAUAAACAUCCUUUUUUCAGUUAACUGGUCAUGCAGACAAAGGAACUUUGGAGAUGAAGGCUGUAGCACUUGUCACUUGUGUGGUUCCUUUUAUUUUUCAAAACAGGUUUCAAAAAUCUGCAGGAGUCUUAACUGAUCCAAAAAAAAAAAAAAAAAAACAAACCCAAAAAAACACCAACAAGGGAAAAAAAAACGUUUCAACUAAUCAAGUCGAAAAGUUUUCGUGAGUUUAGGACUAAUGAAAAUCUAUUACUUCAGACUUUUCUAAAUCAAAUCUAAUUCAAAAUGUGGUAUACUGCUAAGCA